CGAGGAAAUCUUCAGCACAGCCAUAAUCUUCUGUCUGCAAGAAAGGCUCAUUUUCACCGAGGAGAAGCCCUCUGCGGCCCUGCCAGUUCCCCUCUGCCUAUCUAGGCUGCGAUCCCAUCGAUGAGCAUCCUGAUUGACGCGGAGAAUUCACCGGUCUCUAAUAUCCAUUUAGGAAUUUUGAGGGCGUUUUUUAUGGGCUAUCAGAACUGGGCAGAAGCAAUUCAGGACGUUGGUGCCAAAAGAGGUGAGAAGCAAACACAGAACCGUUCUUCAAAAACGCGAGUCAAAGUUGUGAGAGGUAUUUAUGCUUAAAUUGAUAAAUGCCUCAUUUUUAUGUUUCGUUUUGAACUAAAAAAAUAAAUAAAAAAUAGAAAGAA